GGGGCAUUAGCGCAGCUGGUAGCGCACAACACUGGCAGUGUUGGGGUCAGCGGUUCGAAUCCGCUAUGCUCCACGA
rnacentral:tRNA from 3 species